rnacentral:rRNA from 1 species
UACGUAGGGGGCAAGCGUUGUCCGGAUUUAUUGGGCGUAAAGAGCGUGUAGGCGGUUUGGUAGGUCCGCUGUGAAAACUCGAGGCUCAACCUCGAGACGCCGGUGGAAACCAUCAGGCUAGAGUCCGGAAGAGGAGAGUGGAAUUCCUGGUGUAGCGGUGAAAUGCGCAGAUAUCAGGAAGAACACCCGUGGCUAAGGCGGCUCUCUGGUACGUGACUGACGCUGAGACGCGAAAGCGUGGGGAGCGAACAGG